UUGCAGCCACCCCUGUAUAGAUCUUCCACAAUGGACGAAAGUCUGAUGGAGCAACGCCGCGUGAGUGAUGAAGGUUUUUCGGAUCGUAAAACUCUGUUGUUAAAGAAGAACAAGUGUUAGAGUAACUGUUAACACUUUGACGGUAUUUAACCAGAAAGCCACGGCUAACUACGUGCCAGCAGCCGCGGUAAUACGUAGGUGGCAAGCGUUGUCCGGAUUUAUUGGGCGUAAAGCGAGCGCAGGCGGUUUUGUAAGUCUGCUGUGAAAGCCCUCAGCUCAACUGAGGAAGUGCAGUGGAAACUACAAAACUUGAGUACAGAAGAGGAAAGUGGAACUCCAUGUGUAGCGGUGAAAUGCGUAGAUAUAUGGAAGAACACCAGUGGCGAAGGCGGCUUUCUGGUCUGUUACUGACGCUGAGGCUCGAAAGCAUGGGUAGCGAACAGGAUUAGAUACCCUGGUAGUCCAUGCCGUAAACGAUGAAUACUAGGUGUUGGAGGGUUUCCGCCCUUCAGUGCCGCAGCUAACGCAUUAAGUAUUCCGCCUGGGGAGUACGACCGCAAGGUUGAAACUCAAAGGAAUUGACGGGGGCCCGCACAAGUGGUGGAGCAUGUGGUUUAAUUCGAUGCUACGCGAAGAACCUUACCAGCUCUUGACAUCUUCUGCCAACCCAAGAGAUUGGGCGUUCCCUUCGGGGACAGAAUGACAGGUGGUGCAUGGUGUCGUCCGCCCUUCCGCUCGCU
rnacentral:rRNA from 2 species